CCUACGGGUGGCAGCAGUGAGGAAUAUUGGUCAAUGGUCGGGAGACUGAACCAGCCAAGCCGCGUGAGGGAUGAAGGUCCAGAGUAUCGUAAACCUCUUUUGUCAGGGAACAAAGGCGGGGACGUGUCCCCUGAUGAGUGUACCUUACGAACAAGCAUCGGCAAACCCCGGGCCAGCAGCCGCGGAAAUACGGGGGAUGCGAGGGUUAACCGGAUUUAUGGGGUUUAAGGGGGGCGCCGGGGGUCUGUUAAGUUAGCGGUCAAAGCCCGGGGCUCAACCGCGGCCCGCCGUUGAAACUGGCAGUCUCGAGUGGGAGAGAGGUAGGCGGAAUGCGCGGUGUAGCGGUGAAAUGCAUAGAUAUCGCGCAGAACUCCGAUUGCGAAGGCAGCAUGCCGGAUACAGACUGACGCUGAGGCACGAAAGCGUGGGUAUCGAACAGGAUUAGAUACCCUUGUAGUC
rnacentral:rRNA from 1 species